rnacentral:rRNA from 1 species
GACGAACGCUGGCGGCGUGCUUAACACAUGCAAGUCGAACGAAGUGGCGAACGGGUGAGUAACGCGUAAUCAACCUGCCCUUCAGAGGGGGACAACAGUUGGAAACGACUGCUACUACCGCAUACUGAAGGAUGGGAUUGCGUCUGCUUAGCUAGUUGGAGGGGUAACGGCCCACAAAGUCGAUGAUCAGUAGCCGGUCUGAGAGAAUGAACGGACACAGUGGGACUGGUACACGGCCCAGACUCGGACGGGAGGCAGCAGUGGGGAGUCUUACGAAAUGGAAGAAGGUCUGACGGAGCAAUGCCGCGGGAGUGAUGACGGCCUUCGGGUUGGAAAGCUCUGUUGAUCGGGACGCGGUACCGGAAUAGAAAGCCACGGCUAACUACGUGCCAGCGGCCGCGGUAAUUC